rnacentral:rRNA from 1 species
GACAGAGGGUGCAAACGUUGUUCGGAAUUACUGGGCGUAAAGCGCGUGUAGGCUGCUUCGAAAGUCGGAUGUGAAAGCCCUGGGCUCAACCUAGGAAGUGCAUUCGAAACUUCGAGCUGGAGUCCUGGAGAGGAAGGCGGAAUUCUCGGUGUAGAGGUGAAAUUCGUAGAUAUCGAGAGGAACACCGGUGGCGAAGGCGGC